rnacentral:lncRNA from 1 species
AUGACCCGAGGGAAUGGCCUGGAAUUGUAUCCGGGGAGGUUUAGGUUGGGUAUUAGAAAAAGGUUCUUCCCCCAGAGGGUGGCUGGGCACUGGAACAGGCUCCCCAGGGAAGUGGUCACAUCACCAAGCCUGACAGAGUUCAAGAAGCACCUGGACAACGCUCUCAGGCACGUGGGCUCUUGGGGCUGUCCUGUGCAGGGCCACGAGUUGCACCCGAUGGUCCCUGCGGGUCCCCUCCGACUCAGGAGAGGGUGUCACACCCCCGGCUCCCCCGCGCCGCUCCCAGCGCCUCCCGCCAGCGCCCCCUGCCGCGCCCCGCCGGCACCGCAGCAAUGGCGGCCCCCACGGCGCCCGCGUGACUCCGACGCCGCUGCCCGGUGUGAGGUGGCCCAAAACAAGUGUAAGAGACCAGGAAGAAACUUGCCUGGAAUCACCAAGAGCAUAAAAAGACAGGAGGAUGGAAAUGAGGACUUCAGAGCUACAGUGAAACCUGGACAGAGACGCCUGAUUUGCUAAAUUGAGAACAUGCUGCUUCAGUCAGUAUGGAUGUUAGGAAGCUAAUUAAAGGACAUAGCAGCUGACAAGUGAAUCUUUAGUCCCUGUCAAAUCCCUUAAGUUUAUCACCAGUGUGAAGUAGUUCAUAUAAAAAAGAAACUUUUACUCCUGAAUUUACGUUUCCAGAUGAGAUGUGUUUACUUUCAUGGUAAUGAUCAGAACACAUUUUACUUAUUUCAGGAUGAAUAUUGGCUGCCUUGGAAAUUACUCCCCAAAUCCCAGCUCUCUUCCCCUACUUCUUGAAAACCAUGGGAGUCAUAUUCGUUGUCCACACUGGUAUUUUAAGUAAGUGGCAUGAAGGGUGUGUCAGGCUGCAUAGUAUGCUGCUGAACAGCAGACCAAAUCCUGGUGCUUAGAGGCUGCAGUUGUGCUAAAAGGUCAGAAACACCAAGGACAUGUAGUGCACCAAAACUUGCCCAUCCUGAGAUAGUCAGGAAUAGUCACAUGUGUUGAUUUACAGAAAAACUUGGUUUGGUUCCUCUUUUUUUUUUUUUCUUUGCAAACCACAUGCUCUUGCUGAAUGUAAAUAUCUCAUGCUGCAAUGAUUAAGUCCAUUUUAGGUUCGUUUCCAUUAAUCUGUGAAAAGACUGUGCGAAAACCCAGAAUCAGCUCCGAAGGAUAAAUUGUGGGGGUUUUUUUAAUUUCUGAAAAAAAGAACUCUGCAGUAGGUUGUCAGUUAGUACAUCAAAGGAUGCAUUUAGUGUACCUCGGUAUGCUGUAACGUGAGCUAUUUGUUCAGUAGUUAGCUCUAGUUAACUAACAUGACUAUUCAUUCUAAAAUAAGCACUCAGGCAGUGUUUGCUCCCAGGCAAAUACUUGUUCUGCUACAGUUCUUUCUCAGCUCAGCUGCCUCUGAUCCCUUUUGUAAGUGCCGAAGUUGUUAGCCUUUGUAGUCAUGAGAGUUAAUUACCACUCAUUUUGUUCACUUUUCUGCAUGGCCAAAAGCUUUUAUGUCUUUUACAUGAUUCGGGAGUGGAAAGACUCGCCUGCAUUAAGGGACUGUUUCUUAUGCAAUAUGUGAUUAAUAGUUGCCAAGAAGUGGUCUGCCACAUGUGCGCUGGCAGGUUGGCGGCUGUGCAGCUGCGCUACUAAUUACAUGGCUGGGCUGGUUAAGCACGGUGCAUCUGAUGGUGGAGAUAGGCUCCAGGGCCCCGCAGGAGAUCGAGGGGAUGUGGUGGCUAGAUGUGGAAUCUGGGGACAAAUGGGAUGGAUCUGCUGGGGAUGAAGUCUGGACAUGUGGAGAGAACACCUAGGAGCCAUAAUACGAGGCAGUGAGUAAGGAGCAGAGGAAGAAGUUAAUAGCAGGCUAAAGCAAUUCGUGUAGCAAUCAGCUGUGCACAGUAUGACCCUUUGGUAUUGGGCUGGACUCCCUUAGUUUUGGGAGUGUUUGUGUAGUAGGAGAGGAGCAUAUAUUAUUGUUUAGUUUUCAUAUCAGUCCAAGAAAACUAGGUUUAUCUCCCGGCCCAAAAGCAUUGUCCCCACAGAAGUGAAUAUUCAAACACAGUGUUCUUUAGAGGUUGUGUCCUGCAGUAGCAGGAAGCUCAGCAGAGCCCACAUACUUUUAGUAUCUCUAAGUGCUGGUGUUUUUCCCUUGAAUUAUGUUUUUCCUUUUCAGCUAAAUAAACCAUAGCAAAAACCAUUUCAUUGUGUGCUAAGAUAUUCUCAAGUGCUCUUGUUUCCAAGGGUGACUUUACUGGGGGCAGCGAUGCAGUCUCAGAACAGAGCUCUUACGUGUCCCAGUUACGGAAUUACUUCCCGUGCUGCUGACAGCUUGAUUUGUGAAAGAAAAAAGAAUAGCAAAACAAAACCCACAGCCUGUGCAACAGAGACAAACACAGACUUGCUGUGCUUUAGAGAAAGUGUCAAACACAAACAUUUCAAAGGAGGAAAGCUUCUAGUCUUCAUGUACAUGAUAAAAAUAUUUUUAAAAGGAUAAGUCACAUAACUGUAACUAUUUUUAAGGUUUAAAAGUUUCCUGUUUAAUACCUGUGGGAUAAGUCUGUGCAGCUAGCUGGAGGCCAAUUUUAACCUUGACCAUUGAAAUCUGUUGACCUGUGGUUUGGUACAGAGCUGGCCAUUGUUGUUUUUUUCCUGCUUUGAAAUAAGGGAUAUCUGGGAAACCUCUAGCACCGCCCACCCCUCCCCUCUCCCAAACCCCAAAAAAUCCACAUGUUUAACUGUGUGCUAGACCUGCUUAGCUUAGCUGCUAAGUGUUGCAAAGUAGCCAGAUAUUGAAAAUGCUGCUAAUCGAGCAGAUGUCAGACUUAGAAACUCAUCGUUAUGCCUUUAUACUGAAUCUGGUAGAUACUAAGAGGACUUUAAGUGCAUGUGUAAUUACAGAGCUGUUUUGUUCUGGUUUGAGACUAAGCAGUAGUUAUAGAAAAAGAAGACUGAACUGA